UCCGAGUUGACCCCGGCAGUCUCCUAUGAGUCCCCACCAUCACGUGCUGGCAACAUAGAACGAGGGUUGCGCUCGUUGCGGGACUUAACCCAACAUCUCACGACACGAGCUGACGACAACCAUGCACCACCUGUAAACCGGCCACAAGUGGGGCACUUGUUUCCAAGCGUUUCCGGUUCAUGUCAAGCCUUGGUAAGGUUCUUCGCGUUGCAUCGAAUUAAUCCGCAUGCUCCGCCGCUUGUGCGGGCCCCCGUCAAUUCCUUUGAGUUUCAGCCUUGCGGCCGUACUCCCCAGGCGGGGCACUUACUGCGUUAGCGACGGCACCGGGAGGGUCGCUCCCCCCGACGCCUAGUGCCCAUCGUUUACGGCGUGGACUAC
rnacentral:misc_RNA from 1 species